rfam:Trichobilharzia regenti genome assembly, scaffold: TRE_scaffold0028516
AUCCAGAUGACGAGUCCAAAAGAGGACGAAAUGCGAGUUGUCCUGGAU